GUCCACGCCCUAAACGAUGUCAAACUAGUUGUUGGGGCCGUUACCGCCCUUAGUAACGCAGCUAACGCGUGAAGUUGACCGCCUGGGGAGGUACGGUCGCAAGAUUAAAACUCAAAGGAAUUGACGGGGGCCCGGCCACAAGCGGUGGAUGAUGUGGAUUAAUUCGAUGCAACGCGAAAAACCUUAACCUACCCUUGACAUGUACGGAAGUCCGAUGAAAGUACGGAUGUGCUCGAAAGAGAACCGUAACACAGGUGCUGCAUGGCUGUCGU
rnacentral:rRNA from 1 species